rnacentral:rRNA from 1 species
ACGCUUCUUUUUCCACCGGAGCUUGCUCCACCGGAAAAAGAAGAGUGGCGAACGGGUGAGUAACACGUGGGUAACCUGCCCAUCAGAAGGGGAUAACACUUGGAAACAGGUGCUAAUACCGUAUAACAAUCGAAACCGCAUGGUUUUGAUUUGAAAGGCGCUUUCGGGUGUCGCUGAUGGAUGGACCCGCGGUGCAUUAGCUAGUUGGUGAGGUAACGGCUCACCAAGGCCACGAUGCAUAGCCGACCUGAGAGGGUGAUCGGCCACAUUGGGACUGAGACACGGCCCAAACUCCUACGGGAGGCAGCAGUAGGGAAUCUUCGGCAAUGGACGAAAGUCUGACCGAGCAACGCCGCGUGAGUGAAGAAGGUUUUCGGAUCGUAAAACUCUGUUGUUAGAGAAGAACAAGGAUGAGAGUAACUGUUCAUCCCUUGACGGUAUCUAACCAGAAAGCCACGGCUAACUACGUGCCAGCAGCCGCGGUAAUACGUAGGUGGCAAGCGUUGUCCGGAUUUAUUGGGCGUAAAGCGAGCGCAGGCGGUUUCUUAAGUCUGAUGUGAAAGCCCCCGGCUCAACCGGGGAGGGUCAUUGGAAACUGGGAGACUUGAGUGCAGAAGAGGAGAGUGGAAUUCCAUGUGUAGCGGUGAAAUGCGUAGAUAUAUGGAGGAACACCAGUGGCGAAGGCGGCUCUCUGGUCUGUAACUGACGC